rnacentral:rRNA from 1 species
AGAGAUAGAGGAGUGCUCGAAAGAGAACCUGCACACAGGUGCUGCAUGGCUGUCGUCAGCUCGUGUCGUGAGAUGUUGGGUUAAGUCCCGCAACGAGCGCAACCCUUGCCAUCAGUUGCUACGAAAGGGCACUCUGAUGGGACUGCCGGUGACAAACCGGAGGAAGUGGGGAUGACGUCAAGUCCUCAUGGCCCUUAUAGGUGGGGCUACACACGUCAUACAAUGGCCGGUACAAAGGGCAGCAAACCCGCGAGGGGGAGCCAAUCCAUCAAAGCCGGUCGUAGUCCGGAUCGCAGUCUGCAACUCGACUGCGUGAAGUCGGAAUCGCUAGUAAUCGUGGAUCAGCAUGUCACGGUGAAUACGUUCCCGGGUCUU